UACGGAGGGGGCUAGCGUUGUUCGGAAUUACUGGGCGUAAAGCGCUCGUAGGCGGACCUGCAAGUCGGGGGUGAAAGCCCGAGGCUCAACCUCGGAACUGCCUUCGAUACUGCGGGUCUCGAGUCCGGGAGAGGUGAGUGGAAUUCCUAGUGUAGAGGUGAAAUUCGUAGAUAUUAGGAAGAACACCAGUGGCGAAGGCGGCUCACUGGCCCGGUACUGACGCUGAGGCGCGAAAGCGUGGGGAGCAAACAGG
rnacentral:rRNA from 1 species